UUCUUAUCAAGAGCAGGUGGAGGGACUAGCCCGAUGACACCCGGCAACCGACAAACCGUUGGCAUAUCGCGUAAGCGUAUGACAGUGGAAUGCACGGUGCUAAUUCUUGCGGAAGCGAACAUAGCUUCUGAGAGAUGAGAG
rnacentral:ncRNA from 2 species